GAUGAACGCUGGCGGCGUGCCUAAUACAUGCAAGUCGAGCGAACAGACGAGGAGCUUGCUCCUUCGACGUUAGCGGCGGACGGGUGAGUAACACGUAGGUAACCUACCUAUAAGACUGGGAUAACUUCGGGAAACCGGAGCUAAUACCGGAUAAUAUUUCGAACCGCAUGGUUCGAUAGUGAAAGAUGGCUUUGCUAUCACUUAUAGAUGGACCUGCGCCGUAUUAGCUAGUUGGUAAGGUAACGGCUUACCAAGGCAACGAUACGUAGCCGACCUGAGAGGGUGAUAGGCAACAGUGGAACUGAGACCAGGAGCAGACAGCUAAGGGAGGCAGCAGUAGGGAAAGUGAAGCAAUGGGCGAAAGAUUGAAGGAGCAACGGAGCGUGAGUGACGAAGGUCUAAGGAUCGUAAAAAUCUGUUAAGAGGGAAGAACAAAUGUGGAAGGAAAUAUGCACGUCGGGAGGGUACCUAAUCAGAAAGCCACGGCUAACUACGUG
rnacentral:rRNA from 1 species